CGGCAAUAGCUCAGAUUUGAAAUCUGCUUCUUUCAGAAGCCGAGUUGUAAUCUGUAGAGGAUGUUUCGGUGUUGGCUCCGGCCUAAGUUCCUUGGAACAGGACGUCACAGAGGGUGAGAAUCCCGUACGUGGCUGGUCUCCAUCACCAUGUGAAACUCCUUCAAC
rnacentral:rRNA from 1 species